UAAUACGGAGGGUGCAAGCGUUAACCGGAUUUACUGGGCGUAAAGAGUGCGUAGGCGGAUUAGUAAGUCAGAUGUGAAAUUCCGAUACUUAAUAUCGGAGCUGCAUUUGAAACUACUUUUCUAGAGGAUAGAUGGAGAAAGCGGAAUUCCAUGUGUAGCGGUGAAAUGCGUAGAUAUAUGGAAGAACACCUGUGGCGAAAGCGGCUUUCUAAUUUAUUCCUGACGCUGAGGCACGAGAGUGUGGGGAGCAAACAGG
rnacentral:rRNA from 1 species